CCGGGAAUCUUCCGCAAUGGGGGAAACCCUGACGGAGCGACGCCGCGUGAGGGAAGAAGCCCUUCGGGGUGUAAACCUCUUUUCUCGGGGAAGAAUACUGACGGUACCCGAGGAAGAAGCCCCGGCUAACUACGUGCCAGCAGCCGCGGUAAGACGUAGGGGGCGAGCGUUGUCCGGAUUUACUGGGCGUAAAGGGCGUGUAGGCGGCUUAGCAAGUCAGAUGUGGAAGC
rnacentral:rRNA from 1 species